rnacentral:ncRNA from 1 species
ACGGCCCUCUGGAGAGCUCACGGCGCAGAUGCGCCGGGCACCGAAGGGGCAACUUCCAGUCAAUGGAAGGAAACUCUCAGGUAAAAGGACAGAGGAG